AUUUCAAUAACAGCUUUGUUACUAAUACAAAUAAGCUUGAAUUUUGUGUUUCAGGGUAAGCAAGCUAAGGACAAGACAACAAAAUUUUCCAAAAAAAAAUCAUGCAAGGAAAGAAGAAAGAGAAAAUUAAAACAAAAGACAGUUCACUUUCUGACAUUUCCAUUCUUGAAAAGUUUAUGAAAACCUAUGAAAGGCAUUGUGCCUUUUCCCAAAGCUCUGUCAGUGGCAUGAUCAAACGGAGCUUAAGAAAAUGCAUAGAAAAUGAAACUAUUCUUACAAAGGCAAUGCUUUUAGAGCGGAAUGGACGUACCAACUAUCCCUUUUGUACUCUAGAAAUAACUCAUGCUCAGAUAGAUGCAUGGUCCAUGGAGCGACUUGGAGCAGCUUUCCCUUUCAGCAACUUGAACUCCAUUGUUCUAGAUUAUACCAAGUUUGGAGAUAAAGGAAUCAACGGACUUGUUUCUGGGUUAGAGGGAAACAGAAAGCUUCUAACCCUCAGCUUAUGCUACUGCAGUUUGGAACCUGAAAGUGGGUCCAAGUUAGGCCCCAUUGUAGCCCAAACUGCCAUUUGCAAUCUUUAUCUAAAUGGUAACAACUUGCAAUGUUUGGGUGCCCUUGAGCUCAUCACACCAAUAGCUAUGUAUGCAGACAAUCUUGGAAGAGAUAAGGAGACAAAUGCCUUACUAUUCAACAAUUAUUCUGAUCAUCAAAUACCAGAAGCAGACAAGGGUUUGGGUAUCCAUUCAACAGCUUCUGGCUUGAACGUUGCUUCCAAAACAGGAAACUCUAACACUGUGGAAAGUAGUAUGAGGAAGGAAAAGAAAAGAAAAGCCUAAUCAAACAUUCUGAACACUUGAUAGAACUUGAUCUAGAUGGCAACGCUAUAGGAGAACUUUGUGCAACAGACAUCCUGGAAGCUCUUAAGGAGAGAAAAAAAGGUGGUAGUGUCUCCAACUUCAGUCCAUAAGCUUUAAAAAUUAUUUUACUUUUUAUUUAGGUGUUCAUCAGGGUGUUUAUACAAAGGAUAUGAGGAAUGUUAUAUGUAAGUUAAAUUUCUAUACAAAUUCACUACUAUUUAAAAUACAAUACAACCUUGAGUAUCUUAGAGAAUUUUCAGUGUAACAGAUGUCAGGGGAAAGGACCCUGUUAUGAAAAAUUGAGCUUUGUGUACUUAUAUUUGGGUGAAUGCAAGGUAAAAGUCAGAAAAAGGAUUCAAAUCCUGAAAAUGGCUAUGUAUUUUCUCUCUCUCUCUCUCUCUCUCUCUAUACACA
rnacentral:lncRNA from 1 species